CCAAUAGCGUAUAUUAAAGUUGCUGUGGUUAAAAAGCUCGUAGUUGAACCUUGGGCCUGGCUGGCCGGUCCACCUCACCGCGUGUACUGGUCCGGCCGGGCCUUUCCCUCUGUGGAACCCCAUGCCCUUCACUGGGCGUGGCGGGGAAACAGGACUUUUACUGUGAAAAAAUUAGAGUGCUCCAGGCCGGCCUAUGCUCGAAUACAUUAGCAUGGAAUAAUAGAAUAGGACGUGUGGUUCUAUUUUGUUGGUUUCUAGGACCGCCGUAAUGAUUAAUAGGGACAGUCGGGGGCAUCAGUAUUCAAUUGUCAGAGGUGAAAUUCUUGGAUUUAUUGAAGACUAACUACUGCGAAAGCAUUUGCCAAGGAUGUUUUCAUUAAUCAGGAACGAAAGUUAGGGGAUCGAAGACGAUCAGAUACCGUCGUAGUCUUAACCAUAAACUAUGCCGACUAGGGAUCGGACGGUGUUAUUUUUUGACCCGUUCGGCACCUUACG
rnacentral:rRNA from 1 species